rnacentral:rRNA from 1 species
GAUGAACGCUAGCUACCCGUUUAACACAUGCAAGUCGAGGGGCAGCAUGGUCUUAGCUUCCUAAGGCCGAUGGCGACCGGCGCACGGGUGAGUAACACGUAUCCAACCUGCCGUCUACUCUUGGACAGCCUUCUGAAAGGAAGAUUAAUACAAGAUGGCAUCAUGAGUCCGCAUGUUCACAUGAUUAAAGGUAUUCCGGUAGACGAUGGGGAUGCGUUCCAUUAGAUAGUAGGCGGGGUAACGGCCCACCUAGUCUUCGAUGGAUAGGGGUUCUGAGAGGAAGGUCCCCCACAUUGGAACUGAGACACGGUCCAAACUCCUACGGGAGGCAGCAGUGAGGAAUAUUGGUCAAUGGGCGAGAGCCUGAACCAGCCAAGUAGCGUGAAGGAUGACUGCCCUAUGGGUUGUAAACUUCUUUUAUAAAGGAAUAAAGUCGGGUAUGGAUACCCGUUUGCAUGUACUUUAUGAAUAAGGAUCGGCUAACUCCGUGCCAGCAGCCGCGGUAAUACGGAGGAUCCGAGCGUUAUCCGGAUUUAUUGGGUUUAAAGGGAGCGUAGAUGGAUGUUUAAGUCAGUUGUGAAAGUUUGCGGCUCAACCGUAAAAUUGCAGNUGAUACUGGAUAUCUUGAGUGCAGUUGAGGCAGGCGGAAUUCGUGGUGUAGCGGUGAAAUGCUUAGAUAUCACGAAGAACUCCGAUUGCGAAGGCAGCCUGCUAAGCUGCAACUGACAUUGAGGCUCGAAAGU